UUCAUUUUUCAUUAAUGACUAUGACCUGAGAAAAAUAUGACUUAGGCAAUUAUGCUAUGAGGCAAACAAUAUGCUCCUCAGACCUUAGUUAAAUUAAUCAAGAAUUUCAGAUCAUUUUUAUUAAAAAUCAAGUGGUAUAAUCAUACGUGAAUGAGGUGCAUCAAUGAUAAAAGAUGUGGUAAUGAGAUGAAAUGAAGGUGGUAAAGCAAGAUGACUUUUUGCUUAACAGAAUGCCUGAAUCGCAAUUUGAUCAGAAAAAAAUUACAUUAUAUACAGUAUGAACUGUGAACUUCUGUCUCUUCUGAUAUACUUUUAUUAACAUGACUGUUGCAUUUAUGUACUGUAAGGUCACCAUCGACUUGGAGCUCAACUUUGCCAAGUGGACUCACUUAAAGUCCUCCAGAGGACCUUUGGCCCACUAUGAUGUCUUCCUCUACAGGAUGCCCCUCCAAAAAAAUAGAAUCUCCAAAAGGCCAUCAAACAAGACAGCAAACGGCACCGGCAGAGCCAAAGGACGGGUCCUGAGAUGGGAGGAUGACAUGUACCCACCCUCUCCACCCUGUUCCGUGUGCAGCCCCGUCACUGCCCACUCCAUGCCUGCCUCUGUGAUCCAUGAGCUGCACUGGCCCAUGCCUGAGACUCUGAAUACAUGUGCACUCUGACCAUCCCUCACAGUACUCAUCAGUAUCUGAGGCACAGUUCUGUCAGUGUUUUGUAAGCAUUUAACUGAAGUUCUUAUUCGGGGAUUAACAAUUGCAGCAACUUCUACAAGGUUUUACUGAUAUACUUUGUACAUACUACCAAGUAUUUUGGAUAACAAAAGCUUAGACAUAGAUGAGAUGGUUGGAAGCUUGGAUUUUUCCAACUAACCUCUCAGAGAAGUUUUCCUAAAUUUGGUGGGAAAAUAAUUCAGCUACUGACAAGUUACAUUAAAAUUUUAACAAAAGGCAAAGGAGGAUGACCUUUAUUUGUUUGUUUGCACUUCAUGACCUUGUGCUGUGAAAAGUGGAUUGAUUUAUUUGCUGUUAUUUGCCUUCUCUUUAAACAUAUUUGCUCUACUAAAUGGUCCAGUUACCCCUUUAUAUUAUAUCUGGUGAAGCUUAGCUUGUGUAAUUAAAACUAUUACAUAAAUGCUUGUGUGGUUUCACAAUAUUUACGUAGUAGUCUAUUUUGUGGCAGUUGCUGUUGUUUUUUUGACUAACUCAGUUACUAAGCCAAGUUAUGUGGGUGGACAGUUGAGUUCUUGCAUUUCAGUCCUAUUUGAUUUUCAUUAUUAAAGGCAUCAUUUAUGGAUAUUUAGGGAAGUUUGUUUUUUUUCUUUUUAAAUGCACCAGUGAGAAAUGAGAGACUUGAUAACCUCAGAUGUCUUGAAUCUGCAGUGGACAGGUAUUUAAAUCCUCUCUCACCUCUUUUUUUUUUUUUUUUUUUUUAAAUUACUGUUUAAAUACUGUGUCAUGAAUCCAAAAUAGUGGGUGAUGGUAAGAAACAAAUAUGUUCCCCUAUGUUCCUA